UGCGCGCACCCGCCGCCGACGCCGCGGCGCUCUCCGGAGCCGGCAGCGUGCGCGCUCCCGUCGCCGGCGCGCUGAAGCGUGGGAAGGUGCCGCGGUGACCUGGCUCUGCGGCCGGGGCGCGUAGAGUUCUCAGGUUUGGCCUCAGAUAAAUUCUUCCAAGGUCUAGACCAAGAGUGAGGAGCAGACAAGCCCAACCGAUGUGAACACCAAGCCUGGUUGUCCAGUGUCAUCUUCGCUGGGAAUUAAGAAACAACUAAAAUAUCCUCCAAAGGGUGGUGGUCAAACCACGUGUGGCGCGUCUACACCCCGGAUGUGACUCCGCAGCGAUGAAAGAAGCCACUGACUCACAGGGCACCGGUGCUCUCGGGAUGAUGCUGCAUGGAAAGGCCACUCCCAGAGGUCACAUGCAUAAAGGAUGAUUCCGUCCGUUUGGCAAAAUGACCAAAUCGUGGAGCCAGACAGAGACUAGUGCUGGUCAUAUGAAUCCACGUGGGAUAAGAUGACACAGAGCCAUGAGCACACAGCACACCAGUGUCAGCAGCCUCUUGGUUUGGCCAUUGUCCUGUAAUUAGGGCGCCCGUGAUUACACUGGGCCACUCGGAUAAUCCAAAGAUACUCACCCCGUCUCGAGAUCUCUAACCACACCUGCAAAGUCACUUUUGCCAGCCAAGGCUCUAAGCAGCAGUGAGCCUGAAGGAAAAUCCAGAAACACGCAGGCCUUGUUCAGAGCUCUCCGUGUGCAGCCAGACCCCACAGCAGUCAGCUGUAACUCCAACAAGAUCUAAGCAGGUGGACAAGUGUUCACUGUCGAUGAGGAGUGGCUAACCCUGGGAGGGCAGUCCUCCAGGGUCACGAGGCCCCAGAUGUCAAAGUAUCAGAACACAGAGGAUAAAAGAUACAGUUAAUACAGAGAACUGAGGCCUCUGGCCAACAACCAGAAGAGGGUGGCAUCUUGGAAAUGGCCCCUCCAGCCACGGUUGAGCCUUCAGAUGAGAACCAUCUUGACUGCAAGCUCCUAAGAGACCCUGAGGGAGAACCACCAGGCUAAGCCAUUCCCACAUUUCUGACUCGCAGACACCGAGAUACUAAAUGUUCAUCAUUUGAAGUCACUAGAUGUUGGGGUAACUUGCCAGGCAGCAAUACGGCACUAGGACAGAUCUGGUCUGUGCAGCGUGAACAAGGCCAGGAUCGUGGGUCUGGCACCAGGCAAAGCUGUCAAGCUGGAUCCUAGCACUGCCAUUUACGCUACUCAGACCCUGAUACACAAGCUCUCCAGAGAAGAUUCCAGAGCCAAUUUCUAGUCAGUUCCAGAGGUUUCCAGAUGGAGGUGCUGGUGGGGCUGGAGGGCUGUGUGUCUGUGUCUGCUCUGCUACAAAGACAUUCACCUGGUUUGAAUUUUCUUAAAUGUUUAUUCUUGAGAGAGAGAGAGAGAGAACAAGCAGGGGAGGGGCAGAGAGAGAGGGAGACACAGAAUCCGAAGCAGGCUCCCGGCUCCGAGCUGUCAGCACAGAGUCCGAUGCGGGGCUCGAACCCACGAACCGUGAGAUCAUGACCUGAGCCGAAGUCGGACGCUCAACUGACUGAGCCACCCAGGCGCCCCUGGUUUGAAGGCCAGCGACUGAGAAGGGGCCGUGGUGCCCACGGUGCCCUCUCAACCCAGGGGCUAAGUGAGAUGUAGCCACACCUCCAGGCCUGCGCAGGGCCCGGGGCCACCUUGGAGUCACGUGGGCACCCAAGGCCUGAAGCCUUUUCUUUCAUGGGAGUCAUUUUCAGAACUGCCCCACUCCCCCUCCACCCCCACUGGUCACAGCGGGGUCUGACAAAGGGGCAGUGGUGUGUUCGUGAACCCUCAUCUGUCACACUCAUGAAGCCACCCGAGGUCCCCGUGCCUGGCUGGGAGCGGGCACGCGGAGAGAGAGUGUGACGACGCGAUGGGUUGGACCUACUGUAGCUUUUUAAAGUUCUACAGAAAAGACCACGUGGACAAGUCACGGUCACGGUUUGAACCACGCACCAAGUGCCCACACGCGCUGAGCGCUCAGGUUGCCGCGGGCACUCCGUCACCCCCUCUCUGUCACUGUCUUCUCAGACACUCGAGAGUAGUUGGGGGGUUUCUUCCUGGCUCAGAAUCCAGGUGAGGAACAGACAUCCCAUCGAGCUGCCGUGAAUCUUCAGUCUCAUUUGAUCACAAAGGCCGUUUUGAAAAGACGAUCGGACAGCCGGCCAGAGUGCGGGAGGCCCUUCCAGAACCGCCGCGCGUGCCCGCCCGCGUGGUCUUUCCAGUCGCCUCACCUCCCCCCACCGCCGGACGCUGUUUGCUCACAAGUUGAGACGUGGCUGCGUGUGCCUCGCAUUGAUGUGCUUUUUCCCUUCAAGUAGUGUCAGGUCUAGAAGAAAAACUGUACCUUUCUCCCGUGAAAGUCUGUGUCCAGCACGAGCAGGGAAAGAGGCCGGCGGCCGAGUGAAGGAGUCCUUCCUCCGGCCGUGGAAGAAGCAGCGCCCGCCUCCGUUCCCCACCCCCCGGAGGCUUUGGGGACCGCGAAGAAAACGCUUUUCAUCGUUCAGCUGUGGUUCUGCGCCUGGGGGGAGAAGAUGUCCCAGAAGCCCCAUUCGAACCCGGCACCUCCGGUUCCCGGGGCGUCGCCCAGAAAGGUGCCACCGCCGCGACCGGCCUUGCUCCCCCUGUUGGGCGGAUCCGGCGUGACUUCCCACCCGCUCCCUCGCUGCUCGAGUCAGACCUCCGUGGGGCCACCGGCAGGUGCGCCGUCCAUCCCGCGGUUCUCCCCCGUCGGCCCCUCGAGCCCCGUUUUGUGCCUGUCCUGGGGCGCGUGAGGUCGUCUGCCACAGAGCCUGGGGACUGUGGGUUCUCCUCAGCGGUGCCCCCUUUCAGGUGCACGGAGCCUCCCCCACCUCUGCAUCCCUGAAAAAUGUAGGAAAUGCUCUUGACCGGUUCACGAAGUAAGCCAGGGUCCUGCUCGAGGGAGCAACACGUUCCCAACCAGCAGACGACCGGAGCCGAGUGUCCUUCCCAACAAGGGAUUCUAUCAGAAGUUCCUCCUGCCCUGACAACCUCAUUUAAAAGCAAGACAGACCUUAGCUACAAGCUAUUGAAUGUCACAGCACGACGCCUUUCAAGUUUGAGGGAGCCUUUGUAUCCUUGUGUUACGAACAGAAGUUAAUGCGGACCACUCCGCCUUCCAAAAAAUCUCUUCUCUCCUUCAGGACUUUGCCUCCAGGCAGGAGCUGGGGGCUGGCUAGUGGACUAAACCUAACCUGGUUCUGUAUUCGUGAGUUUUUCUAACAGUGGUAAAAUACCCACCACAUGAAAUUUACCAUUUUAACCA